rnacentral:lncRNA from 1 species
AGGUCACAUCACUUCCCUGGGAUUUGGUUUCCUCAUCAGUAAUGGGAGCUGGUUGAAUUAGCUGAUCUCUCUUCCUUUCCAGAUUAAUAGUCUAUUUUGGUGCAUCUGGGAUGUGUGUUGUGGAAACAAAUUCACAAGCUGGAAUCCAGGAGGACUUCAGAAUGGAGAUAAUGAUAUAGUGCCACAUAAAACUAUCCCGGCAAUUGCCAAUGACAUCACCUCUGUCUGUAAAACAGGAAGGGCGGGUGGAUGUUAACAUAGCCCAUGUCUGGAACAACAUAACAUUGGCUCAGAAAGCUGUGGUAUGAAUGACAUGUGGAUCAACAGGAAAAACUACCCAGGAAACCCCUUGAAAUGAGGCUGGUCCUGACAGAUCAGGGACCAGCCACAGGUGCUGCAAAGCUUCCGCCGGCUCCUGUC